GUGGUAGGGAACUGCCCGAUGGAGGGGGAUAACUACUGGAAACGGUAGCUAAUACCGCAUAACGUCGCAAGACCAAAGAGGGGACCGUUCGGGCCUCUUGCCAUCGGAUGUGCCCAGAUGGGAUUAGCUAGUAGGUGGGGUAACGGCUCACCUAGGCGACGAUCCCUAGCUGGUCUGAGAGGAUGACCAGCCACACUGGAACUGAGACACGGUCCAG
rnacentral:rRNA from 1 species